UUUGACAUGGGCGAAGCCUGACCGCCUGCCGCGUGAGUGAUGAAGGCCCUAGGGUUGUAAAGCUCUUUUGUGCGGGAAGAUAAUGACGGUACCGCAAGAAUAAGCCCCGGCUAACUUCGUGCCAGCAGCCGCGGUAAUACGAAGGGGGCUAGCGUUGCUCGGAAUCACUGGGCGUAAAGGGUGCGUAGGCGGGUCUUUAAGUCAGAGGUGAAAUCCUGGAGCUCAACUCCAGAACUGCCUUUGAUACUGAGGAUCUUGAGUUCGGGAGAGGUGAGUGGAACUGCGAGUGUAGAGGUGAAAUUCGUAGAUAUUCGCAAGAACGGGGGGGGCGAAGGCGGCUCACUGGCCCGAUACUGACGCUGAGGCACGAAAG
rnacentral:rRNA from 1 species